UACGUAGGGUGCAAGCGUUGUCCGGAAUUAUUGGGCGUAAAGAGCUCGUAGGCGGUCUGUCGCGUCGGCUGUGAAAACUCGGGGCUCAACUCCGAGCUUGCAGUCGAUACGGGCAGGCUAGAGUUCGGCAGGGGAGACUGGAAUUCCUGGUGUAGCGGUGAAAUGCGCAGAUAUCGGGAGGAACACCAAUGGCGAAGGCAGCUCGCUGGGACGUGACUGACGCUGAGACGCGAAAGCGUGGGGAGCAAACAGG
rnacentral:rRNA from 1 species